AGAGUAUCCGAAUGGCAAACCCGGCGAUUGUAUGCUCCCAUACUGUGAAAGGUGUUUCGAAAGUACAUUCAGAAUUGCUAAAAGCAAAAUUAUUCAAGGACUUCUAUGAGCUGUGGCCUCUGAAAUUUCAAUGCAAGACAAAUGGUGUUACCCAGACCUUGUCUUGAAUCAAUGUCAACACGGGGCCCAAAGAACCACCUUCUUCAUCAUUCACAAAGUACUUAGACACAGGGCCAAGGCUGUAGACCCUCUGAAAAUCAGACCCACCAUUAGCAGCAACAGCAGAGCAAUUAAGAACAGAGUGGCUGGUGAGGAGCCUGAGGAUUCUAUCGACCAUCAUGGGUGCCUCAGGGUUCUUGGUGCCAAUCUUGGCUGCGAUCUCAGACGAAGAGAGCUUGGCGCCUGGACCCUCUCUGGCUAUGAUAUCAAAAACGCCAAGCUCAAUUGCUGAUUGCAGAGACAUGGAGAGCACAGAAGAACCCACCAGCUGGAUGGCAUAGCAGAAGCUUUCAUCUUCCUCUUCCUUUGUAAUUUCAUCCUCAGGCUCAGCAUGAUUUAUUUUGGGAUGGCUUUUUCUCUCCAAUGAAGAAGCCAUUGGACUGUCUAUAUGUUUACGUUCUGAAACUCAUUGCUAGUGGAAUGGGUUUACUUAUAGCUAGGAAACAUAACAUACAAUUCACGUAGC